rnacentral:rRNA from 1 species
AUGGAGGGGAGGCUCACGUUCCAGGAUGGUCAUGAAAUUCAGGUCGUGACGCAUAGAUCCUCGACGCACAAGGCCACGGUGAACAGGUUCAUCACGAAGGAGACACAGGCGUACAGGUUUUGCACCAUGCUAUUGGAGGAGACGGCGUGGAGGAACCGGAGCCCGCUGACGACGCAGCCCGACACUCGCCUUUCCCUUCAUGGCGUACAGAUCCUCGACGGUACCAGUGUCCGCAACGACGCGGCCCACGACCGGCCCCUCCUUCAUGAGGGCACACGCUGGGCGCCGGGUCAUCCCUGUCCGUGGAGGACCACGAGCGGCCCUUCCUGGUGUCGCCGGACGCCACCUUCUCCUGCGGCUUCCUCCCCGCCGGAGACGUCGUCGACAACGAUCUUCUACUUCUCCGUCUGGUUCACCGCGGCCACGGACAGGACCGCCGUCUGGACGGCCAACCCCGGCGCCCCCGUCAACGGCCGGGUCUCCCGUGUAUCCUUCGGCGACGGCGGCAAGCUGGCCCUCGCCGACGCCAACGGGACGACCGUGUGGGACAGCAAGAACGCCGGCAGGAAGCACUUCACCGUCUCCCUCCUCGACACCGGCAAUCUUCGGGUCCUGGACCCGUCCACCGGCCGUGCCGUGUGGCAGAGCUUCGACUGGCCGACGGACACCCUGCUCCCGUCGCAGCCGCUGACCAAGGACACGAAGCUCGUCGCCGGCUACUACACCCUCUACUACGACAACGACAACGUGCUGCGGCUCGUGUAUGACGGUCCGGAGAUCGCCAGCAUCUACUGGCCUGACCGGGAUAUAGGCGUGUUCGGGAGCGGCCGGACCAACUACAACAGCUCACGCAUCGCCGUCCUCGACGACACCGGCGUGUUCCUCUCCAGCGACAACCUGCGAACCGAGGCCUCCGACCGGGGCGCCGCCGGCGUCAAGAGGCGGCUAACCAUCGAGCAGGACGGAAACGUGAGGAUGUACAGCAUGGACGCGGCCGGAGGAUGGACGGUCAGGUGGGCUGCGGUGAAGCAGCCGUGCUCCGUCCACGGGCUGUGCGGCAAGAACGCCGUCUGCGAGUACCAGCCGUCCCUCCGGUGCUCCUGCGUGCCGGGGUACGAGAUGGUGGACCGCCGGGACUGGAGGAAGGGCUGCAAGCCGACCUUCAGCCUCCCCACCACCAACUGCAGCACGUCGGAAAAGCGGUUCACGUUCGUCAAGGUGGCGUCCACCGAUUUCUACGGCUACGACGUCGGGUACAACAUCUCGGUCACGUUCGACUACUGCAAGAGCAUCUGCUUGAGCAUGUGCUCCUGCGCCGCCUUCGCCUACAAGAAGGAUGGCACGGGCCAGUGCUACCCCAAAGGGGUCCUCUUCAACGGUUACACGUCGCCCACCGCCCCCGGAAACAUGUAUCUCAAGGUGCCUACCGACCUCCACAACGACGAGGCACCGUCGCCGUCCAUGGUCCUCGACUGCAACCUUAAUGGCUCUGAUGCGGCCAUCGACCCGCCAACAUACGUCGACACGUAUGGGGCACUAAGAAGCGGCCCGAACUUGUCCUACCUCUUCUGGUUCGCCGCGGUGCUGGGAUUUCUCGAGCUACUCUUCGCCGCCACGGCAUGGUGGUUCAUGUCUGGCCAGGAAAGCAUGCCCAGCUCGCUAGAGGCGGGUUACCGGCUGGUCAUGGGGACCCAGUUCAGGAGGUUCACGUAUCGAGAGCUCAAGAAAGUGACUGGGGACUUCAAUGAGGUGCUCGGCCGCGGCGGCUCCGGCGUGGUGUACCGCGGCGUGCUUGACAAGACCACCGUGGUGGCGGUGAAGGAGCUGACAAACGUGUUGCAGGGCGAGGAGGAGUUCUGGGCGGAGAUGACGGUGUUCGGGAGGAUCAACCAUAUCAACCUGGUGAGGACCUGGGGGUUCUGCUCCGAGGGAAAGCACGGAGCCGACUCGAUGGGGACGUGCCUACAAAGUACUUUAACACGUACGGUGGGUGUGGGUUGGGCACAACGCAGGAAGGGCAUGCGUUCCUUGUACACGUCUUGGCUCUUUUCGUGA